UAUGAAGGGGGCUAGCGUUGCUCGGAAUGACUGGGCGUAAAGGGCGCGUAGGCGGAUGGCACAGUCAGAUGUGAAAUUCCCGGGCUUAACCUGGGGGCUGCAUUUGAUACGUGUGAUCUAGAGUGAGGAAGAGGGUCGUGGAAUUCCCAGUGUAGAGGUGAAAUUCGUAGAUAUUGGGAAGAACACCGGUGGCGAAGGCGGCGACCUGGUCCUUGACUGACGCUGAGGCGCGAAAGCGUGGGGAGCAAACAGG
rnacentral:rRNA from 1 species